AUUGAACGCUGGCGGCAUGCUUUACACAUGCAAGUCGAACGGUAACAGGCCUUCGGGUGCUGACGAGUGGCGAACGGGCGCGUAAUGCAUCCGAAAGUGCCCAGAGGUGGGGGAUAACGCAGCGAAAGCUGUGCUAAUACCGCAUGUGAUCUGAGGAUGAAAGCGGGGGACCAGGCAGGAAUGUUUGGCCUCGCGCCUUUGGAGCGGCCGCUGUCAGAUUAGGUAGUUGGUGGGGUAAAGGCCUACCAAGCCGACGAUCUGUAGCUGGUCUGAGAGGACGACCGGCCACACGGGGACUGAGACACGGCCCAGACUCCUACGGGAGGCAGCAGUGGGGAAUGUUGGGCAAUGGGCGCAAGCCUGAUCCAGCAAUGCCGCGUGCGGGAAGAAGGCCUUCGGGUUGUAAACCGCUUUUGUACGGAACGAAAAGGCUCUGGCUAAUACCUGGGGCUGAUGACGGUACCGUAAGAAUAAGCACCGGCUAACUACGUG
rnacentral:rRNA from 1 species